rnacentral:tRNA from 1 species
GAAUUUGUAGCUCAGCAUGGUUUAGAGCAUCAGACUGUCACUCUGAGGGUCGUGGGUUCAAAUCCUACCGAAUUCG